GACGAACGCUGGCGGCGUGCUUAACACAUGCAAGUCGAACGGAAAGGCCUGCUUUCCCUUGUGGAUUGCGGGUACUCGAGUGGCGAACGGGUGAGUAACACGUGAGUGAUCUGCCCCCAACUUGGGUAUAAGCCUGGGAAACUGGGUCUAAUUCCCGAUAGGACUGCAGGGUGGUGCCUGUGGUGGAAAACGAUUUUCUAGUGGUUGGGGAUGAGCUCGCGGCCUAUCAGCUUGUUGGUGGGGUAAUGGCCUACCAAGGCGGCGACGCGUAGCCGGCCUGAGAGGGUGGACGGCCACAUUGGGACUGAGAUACGGCCCAGACUCCUACGGGAGGCAGCAGUGGGGAAUAUUGCACAAUGGGCGGAAGCCUGAUGCAGCGACGCCGCGUGGGGGAUGACGGCCUUCGGGUUGUAAACUCCUUUCGACCGCGAGGAAGCCACCUGGUUGGAAGGGUGGUGACGGUAGUGGUAGAAGAAGCACCGGCUAACUACGUG
rnacentral:rRNA from 1 species